AUAUUGGACAAUGGGCGCAAGCCUGAUCCAGCCAUGCCGCGUGAGUGAUGAAGGCCUUAGGGUUGUAAAGCUCUUGCACCGAUGAAGAUAAUGACGGUAGUCGGAUAAGAAGCCCCGGCCAACUUCGUGCCAGCAGCCGCGGUAAUACGAAGGGUGCUAGCGUUGUUCGGAUUUACGGGGCGUAAAGCGCACGUAGGCGGAUUGGUCAGUUAGGAGGGAAAUGCCGAAGCUAAAACUCGGAAUUGCCUUUAAAAAUGCCAGGCUCGAAGUCGGAAGAGGGAAGUGGAACCCCUAGUGGAGGGGGUGAAAUCGGAGAUAAUAAGAAGAAAACCAAGGGCGAAGGGGGCUUAAUGGACCGGAAAGGGAGGUGGGGGUCGAAAACGUGGGGAGCAAACAG
rnacentral:rRNA from 1 species